UAAAAGUAAACGUAUUUUCUUUCUACUCAUCAAAUCUUUUAACUUUCUUUAUCUAAAUUUAGGUUGUCAACAAUGGAGAUUUCUAUUAUGAAGAGAAUGGAGGUGAAGAAGUGGCAAAAGAAAAGGCACACCGAUUUAACGUGAUUUGACAAAGAAGAGCCUACAUCUAGGGAGAAUUCUUGAAGAAAGCUAAGAUGAAUACAACCCCCUUUUUUUUUUCUUUUUUUUUUUUUUUGUCUAUCUUUUGAAAACUCAACACACAUGCAGAUAUAUUAGGUGUUUACAAGAGGAUGUAACAGGAAAUAAAUCCAACCCUUCAGCUUUCGAGUCCUUGAUUUUUGACUUUAUUUGUACGUGUUCAGUAUUGAUAGUUUCUGGAAGUUUUGAAGGAUCUACAACGACAUUGUGAGCCUUUUGCUGAUCAAGCAAGACCUUGAUUUUUUUCCUUCCCAAUGGAAAAAUCACCAUUUCCAUCAAACUUCUCAAUCUCAAACUCUUGCUAUUGCUAUUCGCAAGCCCAAAGAUGAAAGACAAAAUAUGUGGAGAAGAGGGAGCCCACGAGCAAGAGAAAAUAUCUUUCUUGAAUAAGGUAGAAUGAAAGAUGGAGGAGAGGUCAUGUCAACCUUCUUUUCAACAUUGAGUUAGAGUCAACAUUUUGUAGAAAAUUAAUUACCCUAAAUUCUUUUAUAAAAUAAAACAACAAAUCUCUCAA